rnacentral:snRNA from 1 species
GUGCCCAAAAUCAGCUCAAU